AAUUCGCGAAAAUAAUAUAAAUCUCGUUAAUACAAAUACGUAGUUAACAUAGUGAAAUCCAGGAACGGGAUUUCACAAGUGAUGUAAAAAAUAAAAUUUCUCACCACUUAUAUAAUAACACGUGGUGUAGUAAGUUAAGAUUGUAGGUGAAGAAGAAGAGGAAGCCGCAGAUGGGUAGACAAUAGAAGAAAAUUAAGUAAUUGAUGUGGAAAGUUAAGAAUUUGAAGAGAUACAAAGAAAAUUUGAUGAGUAUCAAAGAAAAUUAGAACAAGAAAAUGUGUUUGGAAUGUGAGAAUGUGCCAAGAAAAUUCAAGAAGAGGAGAGAGAAGAAUAUAGUACUGUUAAGUUUCAUAACAGUGUAGUAUAGUUAAGUUUCAUAAACAGUGUAGCACCAUUAAAUUUGAUAAAUAGUGUAAUACCGUUAAGUUUCAUAAACAGUGUAGUAAGUUUCAUAAAAAGUGUAGUAAGUUUCAUAAACAGUGUCGUAAGUUUUCAUAAACAGUGUAGUAAGUUCAUAAACAGCGUCGUAAGUUUCAUAAACAGUAUAGUACCGUUAAGUUUCAUAAACAAUGUAGAAAGUUUCAUAAACAGUUUGUGUGAGGACGCGUGGGUCCACGCUUCAAAUUUUUUUUAUUUUUUUAAUAUUAAAAUAUGUCUUUUUUAAUAUAAUUUAAGUUCUUUUGUCCUCGUUAUUAAAAUUUAAGUUUUUUUAAUUAAAUAAAGUUAUAACAUGGUUUUUUAUUAAAAUAAACUUAUCCUAAACCCUUUUCAUGAAAGUUCUCUAUAAUAUAUAGUAAUAUCGCUUAUGGUAAAAAUAUAUAACUUGCAUGAUUUAAUAUUAAAUACAUAACUCCCAUUAGAGAGAAGAAUAUCCCCUCGCUUUUGUCGAUCGGAUUUUUAGAAGAAGGAAGAGCAAAAUUGGAAGCACAUAUCGAGUCUCUUGGCUGAAGAAGGUGGUGCGAAUAUCAAGUUUUUCCAUCUUUCCACAGAUGAAAGAAGAGCAAGGAAUAGAAUAUUACAGUUGGAGGGAGGCAAUAGCAAUUGCACAGGAUAUUUUACCGUAGUGACGAAAAGAAAUCAUGUCAAUGCACUCAAUGUGGGUUCGAUCUCUUACCAAUUUUCCUCCUCCUUAACAAUUAAGUUAACUAACUAUUUGACCCACUAACGCUAUCGUUCUACUUAAAAAAAGAAAAAAAAAAAGUUGCCCAAUAGUAUUGUUAUUUAUUUUUUUACUAUGAAUAGAGCAUGAACAUCAAAGCUGGCGUCUCUCAGAAACAAUAUAAUUAACUGAAAAAAUGAGCUUCAUUAUUGAGACCUGGUGAAAAGGCUGAUCUGUUCACUACCUUAAUUAACACUCACCCUCAUCCCUACCCUCCAUCUCCAUGUGUUUCUCUUGCUCAUCAUCGUUAAUAACUAGUUAGACAGAAAACACCUCGGUCAUCAAGCAGGCUUUCCAUGAUCAAUCAAACAUGGACUUUUUUUUUGUUUGGUCAAAUGAUUGAAGACUUGGAAAUAGACUUUAAGAAAAGAUUUGGACCACUUGGAUCUAACAGAAGACAUGAUACAAAACCGAGCGCAAUGACAUUCUAAGAUUCAUAUAACAAACCUUGCUUAGUGAGAUAAAAUUUUGUUGUUGUUGGUCAAAUGAUCAAACCUUAUCAGGUAAGGUAUCCCCUCUUUUCUUUUCUUUGUGGUGGCCUAGUCUUCUAGGUCCACCUUAAUUAGUUCUUAAAUUAGGAAAUUAAUGAAAAAUGGUUUCAUUGGAUUUUAAUAAGAAAAAUUAAUGAAAAUGACUUCAAAACUUUGCAUUUUAACAAAAAAAAUCAUCUAAUAACUUUAUUUAAUGAUAAGGACAAUAAAAAAACAUAAAAUAUAAACAUGUGUGCCCAGCACACGUUAAGUUUCAUAAACAAUGUAGUACCGUUAAGUUUCAUAAACAGUGUAGUACAGUUAAGUUUUAUAAACAAUGUAGCACUGUUAAGUUUCAUAAACAAUGUAGUAAAUUUCAUAAAUAGUGAAGUACCGUUAAAUUUCAUAAACAAUGUAGUAUCGUUAAGUUUCAUAAAUAGUGUAAUAAGUUUCAUAAACAUUGUAGUAAAUUUCAUAAAUAAAGUAAUACCGUUAAAUAUUAAAAUUUAAGUCUUUUUUGUCCUUUUUAUUAAAGUUUACGGGUUUUUCAUUAAAAUUUAAGUCUUUUUCAUUAAAUAAAGUUAUAGCAUGGUUUUUGGUUAAAAUAAACUUAACACAAGCCAUUUUCAUGAAAGUUCUCAUUAUUAUAAGCUAUAACCUAAGAGGAGUCCCAGGAAAAGUUGAAAAUGAACGAGAUGUCAUAAGUUCGAAAUGCUAUGUGCAUGUUUAUUCUUUUUCAAUUUUUAUGAAUUUCUAUUUGGUUAUUAAUUUCUUUUGAAUUACUAGCUAGUACUUUUUAAACAUUCGUUCCAAUCCAAGUCUAACAUUUAACAAAGAGUAAUACGAA
rnacentral:lncRNA from 1 species